rnacentral:rRNA from 1 species
UACGUAGGGGGCAAGCGUUGUCCGGAUUUAUUGGGCGUAAAGAGCUCGUAGGCGGCUUGUCACGUCGGAUGUGAAAGCCCGGGGCUUAACCCCGGGUCUGCAUUCGAUACGGGCAGGCUAGAGUGUGGUAGGGGAGAUCGGAAUUCCUGGUGUAGCGGUGAAAUGCGCAGAUAUCAGGAGGAACACCGGUGGCGAAGGCGGAUCUCUGGGCCAUUACUGACGCUGAGGAGCGAAAGCGUGGGGAGCGAACAGG